UUACGAACAACACGGUAACCCUGUAUUCCAAUUGCCUAUCACACUGAACAUACCCUAUCAAAUUAUAUUUGACAAUUCAUAUUUGUGAAAAUUUAAAACUGAACCGGCAGCAGCAAAAACUCGGAAGGAAGAAAAUCGGGCAACGUGCAAUAACCGCGAAAAAACAACAAAAACCAUCAAUUUCAAAACGCAAUAAAAGUCAAUGGCUGGAACAAUUUUAAAAGCAGAAAAACAAGGAAUGACGUUUUUAAUACAUUUUUUCAAUCAACGAAACAGGAAAAUUCGGCGUUUUUGUUCUAAACGAAAGCUUUAGACCGAUGGUCCAAGGAGGAACAUGAAACAAUACGUAGAAGUUACAAAACAUUUGGCUGCGCAACAUCCUUUGGAGGAUGAAGUUUUUGCAUCCUUGGCUAAUGUUGUGGGCGAAAAAGAAAUUAUGAUGUUGGAAAAUGCCAUGGCCUCCUCCAUUGUUUGAUGGCUUCCAAAUUUCUGCACAAUUAUGCAAAGACUGUUCGUCGUAAUAUUUGUGAAAAGACAAUUGUCAUUAAAAAGAAAUGUUUCGGAAAAAAUGAAUUUUCCAAUACUGCUGGGUAAGCUAUUGGAAAACCUGGAUAAAUAAUAGGUGUUGGAUGAAAUCAGACACCAGAAACAAAAUCGCGAACCGGCAAUAAUAGCCAUUUUUGGAAUCUAUUGAAUUGCCAAGGCCAAUACAAUAUUUGCGAUAUGCAAGGAUGUCAUUGCCCACAAAUCGCUACCAUUUUUAAUACCAUGAAAAUUGCUUAACCAUUGCUCAAUUCAAUACAUUUGUUGCCUUGAUCAAGGAAAUGUUUGACCGGGGCGAAACAGAACAAAGGGAAAAUUGGAACAAUUAUCCACAAUACAAAAAUAUAACAAAUGAG